rnacentral:tRNA from 1 species
GGUAUCGUAGCUCAGUUGGUAGAGCAAAGGACUGAAAAUCCUUGUGUCGGCGGUUCGAUUCCGUCCGAUACCACCA